UAGGGAAUAUUGGGCAAUGGACGGAAGUCUGACCCAGCCAUGCCGCGUGCAGGAAGAAGGCGCUCAGCGUUGUAAACUGCUUUUAUCGUGGAAGAACGGCAGUCCUGCGGGAUUGUUUGACGGUACUCGAGGAAUAAGCACCGGCUAACUCCGUGCCAGCAGCCGCGGUAAUACGGAGGAUGCGAGCGUUGUCCGGAUUUAUUGGGUUUAAAGGGUGCGUAGGUGGUUGAGUAAGUCUGGAUUGAAAGUCAGUCGCUUAACGAUUGAGGGUGGCUGGAUACUGCUGAACUUGGAUGCUCUGGAGGUAGGUGGAACGGGUUGUGUAGAGGUGAAAUUCAUAGAUAGUACCCAGAACCCCAAGUGCGAAGGCAGCCUACGACGGGGUGAUUGACACUGAGGCACGAGAACAUGGGGAGCAAAC
rnacentral:rRNA from 1 species